GCCUCGGUGGUGUAGUGGUAGAGCACGCGUCCCCGGAUAGGAUGAAACGUGGGUUCGAUUCCCGCUUGAGACC